AUGACAAUCACCUACACACAACAUCAGCACAGAAAUGGUUGUCAUGGAUACGGUUCAGCAGAUCACUAUAAAACCAUGUGUGGUAACCUGCUGCAUUUAACCAACAAAUCAGGCCAAAGAGAUGAGCAAUGUUUGAUUAAUGCCAGAUCAAACAGAUCAAAUAAGCAUGAUUUUUUUUUUUUUUUUUUUUUUUUUUUUUUUUUUUUUUUUUUUUUUUUUUUUUUUUUUUUUUUUUUUUUUUUUUUUUUUUUUUUUUUUUUUUUUUUUUUUUUUUUUUUUUUUUUUUUUUUUUUUUUUUUUUUUUUUUUUUUUUUUUUUUUUUUUUUUUUUUUUUUUUUUUUUUUUUUUUUUUUUUUUUUUUUUUUUUUUUUUUUUUUUUUUUUUUUUUUUUUUUUUUUUUUUUUUUUUUUUUUUUUUUUUUUUUUUUUUUUUUUUUUUUUUUUUUUUUUUUUUUUUUUUUUUUUUUUUUUUUUUUUUUUUUUUUUUUUUUUUUUUUUUUUUUUUUUUUUUUUUUUUUUUUUUUUUUUUUUUUUUUUUUUUUUUUUUUUUUUUUUUUUUUUUUUUUUUUUUUUUUUUUUUUUUUUUUUUUUUUUUUUUUUUUUUUUUUUUUUUUUUUUUUUUUUUUUUUUUUUUUUUUUUUUUUUUUUUUUUUUUUUUUUUUUUUUUUUUUUUUUUUUUUUUUUUUUUUUUUUUUUUUUUUUUUUUUUUUUUUUUUUUUUUUUUUUUUUUUUUUUUUUUUUUUUUUUUUUUUUUUUUUUUUUUUUUUUUUUUUUUUUUUUUUUUUUUUUUUUUUUUUUUUUUUUUUUUUUUUUUUUUUUUUUUUUUUUUUUUUUUUUUUUUUUUUUUUUUUUUUUUUUUUUUUUUUUUUUUUUUUUUUUUUUUUUUUUUUUUUUUUUUUUUUUUUUUUUUUUUUUUUUUUUUUUUUUUUUUUUUUUUUUUUUUUUUUUUUUUUUUUUUUUUUUUUUUUUUUUUUUUUUUUUUUUUUUUUUUUUUUUUUUUUUUUUUUUUUUUUUUUUUUUUUUUUUUUUUUUUUUUUUUUUUUUUUUUUUUUUUUUUUUUUUUUUUUUUUUUUUUUUUUUUUUUUUUUUUUUUUUUUUUUUUUUUUUUUUUUUUUUUUUUUUUUUUUUUUUUUUUUUUUUUUUUUUUUUUUUUUUUUUUUUUUUUUUUUUUUUUUUUUUUUUUUUUUUUUUUUUUUUUUUUUUUUUUUUUUUUUUUUUUUUUUUUUUUUUUUUUUUUUUUUUUUUUUUUUUUUUUUUUUUUUUUUUUUUUUUUUUUUUUUUUUUUUUUUUUUUUUUUUUUUUUUUUUUUUUUUUUUUUUUUUUUUUUUUUUUUUUUUUUUUUUUUUUUUUUUUUUUUUUUUUUUUUUUUUUUUUUUUUUUUUUUUUUUUUUUUUUUUUUUUUUUUUUUUUUUUUUUUUUUUUUUUUUUUUUUUUUUUUUUUUUUUUUUUUUUUUUUUUUUUUUUUUUUUUUUUUUUUUUUUUUUUUUUUUUUUUUUUUUUUUUUUUUUUUUUUUUUUUUUUUUUUUUUUUUUUUUUUUUUUUUUUUUUUUUUUUUUUUUUUUUUUUUUUUUUUUUUUUUUUUUUUUUUUUUUUUUUUUUUUUUUUUUUUUUUUUUUUUUUUUUUUUUUUUUUUUUUUUUUUUUUUUUUUUUUUUUUUUUUUUUUUUUUUUUUUUUUUUUUUUUUUUUUUUUUUUUUUUUUUUUUUUUUUUUUUUUUUUUUUUUUUUUUUUUUUUUUUUUUUUUUUUUUUUUUUUUUUUUUUUUUUUUUAUGUAUGUAUAUUUAAAUACAUUCUCAGUGCUUCAUUAUUUUAUUUGA
rnacentral:lncRNA from 12 species